ensembl:lncRNA
GUGUGUUUUGUUAUGGAGAUGCAACAUACUAUGUGGAAAAGCACAAAUAAAGGAAAAGUCAGAAGAGAAUCCUUCUACAUGGGAUUUAACCAAAAGCCAUCAUGAUAAAUAUAUUUUCAAUUUGAACACAUUUAUGAUCACUUGUGUGGCUCAGGUUAAAGUAAAGAAAAAAAAAAAAAAGCUCAAAUUGCUUGCUGAGACAAGAAUCUAUUCUGAAUAUCUCAAAAGCAACAAUCUUACCCACAGUGCUGAGACACUGGAAUUAUUUUUACUGAUAUCAUUGAAAUGUUAAAAUGUAUGAAGAGUGUGCUGGGCAGACCCUGAAAAGACCUAAGAAAUGGUGAUAAUGCUCAUAAGAAAUAAUACUUUCUGUGUUAAACAAUAUGAGGCUUUCGAGGUAAUCAGUCUCCAUCUUGGAUUAAGCAUAUCUCAGCUGAAAUACUAAUACAGACUUAGAAGAAAAAAUAUAUAUAUAUAUAUGUAAUUUUACCUCUUGUUUUCAAUUAUGGAAAAAAAGGGCAACACUCUUUAAAUAAAAUUUAAAAUGAACUCAAUUUCUUUUCUGUGUAGUAUUUGCUACUCCAAAAUAAUUCAAUACACACUUUUUUUUCAGUGAACUUCGAAUGUGCCAGAGAACUCAAAAAGGACAUCCUGAAAAUAGCUGUAAAAUUGAUAAAGUAUACAUGCAGCAUAAGCAGCUCUGUGAAAGUAAUUGCAAUCAAAGUAGACAAAAUCUUCAAAUCAGCUUGGAGUCAAAGGAAAGAAUUGCAGAAAUUAAGCGGGAGAUGAUAAUAGGAAGGGAACUGAUUUGACUACACAUGGAUUUCUACUGCUAUUUGGACUUCUCCAAGGAUAGCGCAUCCGGUGUACCCUUUCCUGCCAUCCAAUAAGAGGUUGGGAGGUGGAGGAAGCGAGCAGAGAAGAUCGAUGCAAGAGAUAAAGAAAAGACAGGAGCAGGAAGGUGAAAACAACAAAGGGAAUCAGAAUAGAUAUAUUUGGGAUAAGCAUGGGAACUUCCACAAGAUGCAAUCCUUCAUGAACUGCUCCAACAUGGGUCCUUCUCAUAAGCUUCAGUUCUUCAAGAACUUCUCCAGAAUGAGUCCUUUCUGAUGGGUACAGUACAUCAGGAAUAAACCUGCAUGGGUCUACCAUGCCACCACAGUUCUUGCCCUGCCACAGAAGCUGCUCUUGUGUGAGUUCCUCUCCAGAAGCUGAAGUUCCUGCCGGGAAACUUCUCCAGUGUGGUCUUUUCACAGACUGGACCUUCAUUCAGAGGAUCCACCUACUGCGUGUCCUCCAGCACCUGGAGUACUUUUUUCCCCUUUUUUAUUCUCUGAGUUUGGUUUUUGUAGCUUUUUUCUUUUUCCCCCUCACAUGUAUUUUCUCUCUCACAGUUGCUGCUCAGCAUUUUUUUCUUUUUAAACUAUGUCUUCUAAGAAGUGCCACCAACUUCACUGAGGGUCUCACCUGUGUCCAGCACGGGUGCAGCUCCUGCUGUCUUCUCAUAGAGGCCACCUCUGCAGCCCCUUGAUAUCAACAUCUUGCCAUUUCCACCCAAUAAAUAAAUUUUAAUCAAGCAUUAGAUAUGUCCAUUUCUUAAGUCAUUGAAACAGCCACAUUUAAACUACUGUGUCCAGUUUGAGGCUUCUCAGUUCAAAAAAGACAAGAAUCUCCUAGAAGGGAUCCAGCAGAGGGCCACAAAGGUGAUUAAGGUCCUGGAGCAUCUCCAGUAUGAGGAAAGGCUGAAAGAUCUGGGUCUGUUCAGUCUGGUGAAAAGAAGACUGAGAGGGGAUCUGAUAAAUAUUUAAAAACAUCUAAAGGGAGACGGAAGUCAAAUGCAUGAUGCCAGGCUCUUUUUGGUGGUGCGUAGCAAUAGGAUAAGGAGUAAUGGCCUGAAACUUGAACACAGGAUGUUCCAUACAAACAUGAAGAAGAAAUUCAUUACAGUAAGGGUGAUGGAGCACUGGAACAGGUUGCCCAGAGAGGUUGUGGAGUCUCCCUCUAUGGAGAAAUUCACAACCCACCUGAAUGUCUACCUAUGCAACAUAUUGUAGGGUACCUGCCUUAGCAGGAGAGUUAAACUCUGAUCUUGAGGUCCCUUCCAACCCUUGCAAUUCCAUGACUCAAAAACAAUUCUCUAGAGAGAUAGAUCAAUGUUUCUUACACUAUUCUGUUUGUGCAUUUUGAAAGAAUUUAGAUAUGAACCUUGUACAGAAAUUAUUGUUUGUAUCAUAAAAUUUUUUACACUGAUUCUCUAAUAAAACAAAUGGUGAGAAAAAAUAAGACAAAUGAGGAAACAUUCAAGAACAUCUUAAAAGUAUAAAGAGAGAGAGAAGACAUAAAUAAAGAAGUAAACCAUUUCUGUGACUCACA